UACGUAGGGUGCAAGCGUUAAUCGGAAUUACUGGGCGUAAAGCGUGCGCAGGCGGUUUUGUAAGACAGAGGUGAAAGCCCCGGGCUCAACCUGGGAACUGCAGGACGAACUGCUUGACUAGAGUAUAGUAGAGGAGUGUGGAAUUCCCGGUGUAGCGGUGAAAUGCGUAGAUAUCGGGAGGAACAUCAGUGGCGAAGGCGGCACUCUGGACUGAUACUGACACUGAGGUGCGAAAGCGUGGGUAGCGAACAGG
rnacentral:rRNA from 1 species